rnacentral:lncRNA from 1 species
UUUCCUGGCUUAGGCUGGGAGGCACAGCGCCCGUGUGCUGGAGGCGAGUUGGCUCCGGGUGGGGGAGGCUGGGGUUCCAAACCAGGGCAGGGGAAUGGUGGCCCUGCGUGGCUCGUGGACCUCUCUCAGGGACCCCUCUCAGCAGGGGCCGGAAAAGCAGGCCCACACCCAGUGGUCAUUGCAGGAACUUCACUUGAGCUGGUCUGCUUGUGAGCCUGUGGUUUGGAGAGGAGAAGACGCACUUCCCCAUGAGAAAAAGUUUAGAUCCAGGCUUUAACUUCAGUUUCCUGUGUGACCUUUGAGAAGCCAUCCCUCCAAGUGCUUCCUUUGAAGGGUGAGCCCUGGGUGCCUCUCUCUGAGGGAGGCCCUUGCUCCAUCUGGGCUUGACUGUGCCACGGGGGAUCAGAAGCAACAUACAUUCUGUCAGCAGCUGCCGGAAAUGCUGGAGCAGCAGUCCUGGAGGCGGGGUGAAGCAGUCCCUGGCUUUUGGAGGAGGCGUGAGAAGAAAUUCAUGGGGGGCUUUAAUUCUUUUCAGAUUCCCAACCAUUUUCUUCUAGCUGCUACUGCCUGCAUUUGUGUAACUUAGUUUGCAACACAGGUGACAAGCUUUC